rnacentral:rRNA from 1 species
UGGGAACUGUGGGCCAGCGGCCUCGGUAAUACAGGGGGGUGGAUCGUUAAGUGUAGUGACGGGGGGUAAAGCGUGUGUAGGUGGGUCGCUAAGUCGGGUGUGAAAUCCGUGGGCUUAACCUGGGAACUGCAGGCGAGACUGGCGGACUAGAAGGCGGUAGAGGGUGGCGGAACUCCGGGUGUAGCGGUGAAAUGCGUAGAUAUCCGGAAGAAAACCGAUGGCGAAGGCAACCACCUGGGCCUGCAUUGACGCUGAGGCACGAAAGCGUGGGGAGCAAACAGGAUUAGAUACCCGGUAGUC